GACGAACGCUGGCGGCGUGCUUAACACAUGCAAGUCGAACGGAAAGGCCCUGCUUUUGCUGGGUGCUCGAGUGGCGAACGGGUGUGUAACACGUGUGUAACCUGCCCCUGACUUUGGGAGAACUUCAGGAAACAGGGGCUAAUACCGGAUAGGAGCUCCUGCUGCAUGGUGGGGGUUGGAGAGUUUCGGCGGUAGGGGAUGGUCUGGCGGCUUAUCAGCUUGUUUGUGGGGUAGGGGCUUACCAAGGCUUUGACGGGUAGCCCGCCUGAGAGCGUGAACGGGCACCAUGGGCCUACGAUACGGAGCAGACUGCAACGGGAGGCAGCAGUGGGGAAUAUUGCGCAGUGGCCGGGCGUCUGAUGCAGAGACCUCGCGUGCGGGAUGACCGCCUACGGGGUGUGAACCGCUGUCGCCUGAGACGAAGCGGGAGUGACGGUAAUGGGUAAAGAAGCACCGGCUAACUACGUG
rnacentral:rRNA from 1 species